GAUAAACGCUGGCGGCGUGCCUAAUACAUGCAAGUCGUGCGGUAAGGCCCUUCGGGGUACACGAGCGGCGGACGGCUGAGUAACGCGUAGGAACAUACCCCAAAGUGAGGAAUAACUGCCCGAAAGGGUGGCUAAUGCCGCAUGUGAUCUACGGAUUAAAGCGUUUACGCGCUUUGGGAAUGGCCUGCGUUCGAUUAGCUAGUUGGAGAGGUAAUGGCUCACCAAGGCUACGAUCGAUAGCUGGUCUGAGAGGAUGAUCAGCCAGACUGGGACUGAGACACGGCCCAGACUCCUACGGGAGGCAGCAGUAGGGAAUUUUCCACAAUGGGCGAAAGCCUGAUGGAGCAACGCCGCGUGCAGGAUGAAUGCCUUAGGGUUGUAAACUGCUUUUAUUAGUGACGAUUAUGACGGUAGCUAAUGAAUAAGGACCUGCUAACUACGUGCCAGCCGCCGCAGUAAAAC
rnacentral:rRNA from 1 species